rnacentral:rRNA from 1 species
CAGUCGCCGCGGUAAUACGCAGGUGGCAAGCGUUGUCCGGAAUUAUUGGGCGUAAAGGGCUCGCAGGCGGUUUCUUAAGUCUGAUGUGAAAGCCCCCGGCUCAACCGGGGAGGGUCAUUGGAAACUGGGAAACUUGAGUGCAGAAGAGGAGAGUGGAAUUCCACGUGUAGCGGUGAAAUGCGUAGAGAUGUGGAGGAACACCAGUGGCGAAGGCGACUCUCUGGUCUGUAACUGACGCUGAGGAGCGAAAGUGUGGGGAGCGAACAGGAUUAGAUACCCCGGUAGUCCCUGUCUCUUAUAA